UCCCUCGUGGUCCAGCAGCUAAGACUCCACACUCCCAAUGCAGAGGGCCAGGGUUCAAUCCCUGGUGGGGGAA
rfam:TPA: Bos taurus chromosome 16, whole genome shotgun sequence.